rnacentral:lncRNA from 1 species
GUUAACCUCCUCCUCUAUUACGUUAGCUUUGUGUAACAGCUCCUCCUGAUGUUAACCUCCUCUAUUACAUUAGCUUUAUGUAACAGCUCCUCCUGAUGUUAACCUCCUCUAUUACAUUAGCUUUGUGUAACAGCUCCUCCUGAUGUUAACCUCCUCCUCUAUUACAUUAGCUUUGUGUAACAGCUCCUCCUGAUGUUAACCUCCUCCUCUAUUACAUUAGCUUUGUGUAACAGCUCCUCCUGAUGUUAACUGUAAUACAAGGAGGUUUUUUCCAACUGCUUACACACAAAAUCUUUUCAUGUCAAACGAUUUUUGAAACCUCUCACUCAAAGUGCAAAACUACACACCAAAUAUCCAAAACCAUAAGCUAUUUCUCAGCCUUUGACUCAGUUGUCAAUUGCAUAAAACACUUUUUUCAAAACACUACACAUAAUUCUCUACCUAAAACACAAAAAUCUAACAGGAAGUGACUUGCUUUCCUUUUCCAAACACAACCGAUCAAAAUGCUACACUUAUUCACCAGGUCACACACACACUCCUCACAUGUGCAAACACUAAUUGCUUAACUGAUCACUAACCAAACACUGCUUUACUGUAGUACAGGCCUAUAAAUAGGUCAAAGGUCAGAUUACCUGUUUUGAACAAUGGAUGUGAACAAUGGAUAGAGAGCAAGAGGAGUAGGAGGGAGAGGCAGGGGACAACAACAACAACAACAACAACAACAACAACGAGGACAAAUUCAAAGACGGAGAGGAGGACAAAGAAGAGAAGGAAGGAGAGCCAUCUCUGAUGAGAUUAGGGCAACACUUGUUGAUCAUGUGAUCAACCACAGUUUGACCAUGAGAGAGGCUGGACUGAGAGUCCAGCCCAACUUGAGUCGAUUUACAGUGGCGUCCAUAAUUCGAACCUUCAGAAAUGAGAACAGAGUGGAAAGGCAAAGACAUCAUGGAGGACGAGGACGCUUGUUUACAGAUGUACAAGAGACUGCAAUUGUAAAUAUGGUUUUGGCCAACAAUGCAAUUAGGAUUCGAGAGAUGAGAGAGCAUAUCUUGAAUAAUAACACCAUAUUUAACAACAUCAAUGCUGUAAGCCUGUCGACCAUACAACGCAUCCUCCAACGGCACCGAGUGACGAUGAAACAACUUUACAAGGUGCCAUUUGAGAGAAACUCUGACAGUCAAGAAUAUGCGACAUGACUUUGUAGAGAGUCUUGGAGCUGGAUGCCCAUGUAAUUCGCCAUUAUUUUAUUUAUGUGGAUGAGGUUGGCUUCAACCUCUCCAAAACCAGGCGCUGCGGAAGAAAUGUAAUAGGACAGAGGGCAAUUACCAAUGUCCCUGGACAGCGUGGGGGUAACAUAACUGUGCUGCCAUCACUCAAAACGGGGUCCUCCAUCACAAUGCCACACUGGCCAUAUGCUCACUUUUCUGGAUGCAAUUUACACAAUGCUUGUCCCUGAUCUGGAAUUGUGUUCUUUACUGUAUUCUAAAGAAUAUACUUUUGGUUUACAUACGUUUAUGGUUUUGUUGUAUGCUACUGUAUACAACAGUAAUGUUUGGCC